rnacentral:tRNA from 1 species
UCCCUGGUGGCUCAGACGGUAAAGCGUCUGCCUGCAAUGCGGGAGAUACGGGUUCGAUUCCUGGGUCGGGAA